rnacentral:lncRNA from 1 species
UUGAAGCAAUUAUUUAUUAUUCGAUUUUUUCAAAGAUAAUUUAUAAUCAUAAUACUGCUUUAAAAUUCCAAUCGCAUUUAUAAUCACAUUGUAUCAAAUUAGUAAAACCUAUCUCUUUGCAAUUAUUCUUAAAUUGCAAGAUUUUUUGCACAAGAGAUCUUGUAUGUAAUCUUGCAAGAAUACAUGCAAGAUUACAUUCAGGAAUACAGAACCAUGUAAUCUUGAUCUACCGUUUAUUUGCAAAAGAAGAUAUUUCCUUUUGAUCUUUUCUUCAUAGAUUUAUUUGUGAUCAAUACAACAUAAAAGAUACUUGAGUCUUACAAUGUCUUUGAUGCAUGUAGAGUUGAACGGCUAGGUUUCUUGAAAGGAAGCAUGAGACACACAAAAAAUUCCACUCAAAUUUCAUUUAUACUGUCUUAAAGAUCUCCAAUUCUGCAAGUUUAAAUAGAUUAUCAUUCAUUUCGUAUAAAAAUUCCACAAGAAACCAUCAAGAUGUUGCUAUAAUUUGAAUACUUUACUUUCCCAGUUCAAUUAGUUGUGCAUGGCUUGGUGAAAACAAUAUUUAAUAUAUAUAUA